AGGGAUCCCCAUCAAUGUUAUACUAUUUGUCUCCAGGUAUAUACUCACUCCAAAUUCUAGAUAUUCUAGCGAGUAGAUGAGGUGAAAGUAUGUGCAACAUAAUUAUUAUUUUUGUUUUGCUCUAAUUUCUGCGAGAGUGUUGUUAAAUCCCAUGUAGCACGAUGGUGGUUGUAUGCUGCCGUGGAGGAAUUAAAGGCACAUGUUGAUUAAAAGAAUGGGUAUAAGUAAGGAGUGGCUGGUGACUAAUAUUGUCGAGUAAUUUCUUGAUCCGCCCAUGAUUAAUUAGUACCCCAAUUUGUUUUCUCAAAAAGGUACAAUAUUGCUAUGGUAAAAGUUACACUUUGUGGCCUCAAAUAGCAUUCAGAUUUAUAGAUUGAUUUCUCUUAGAAAAAAUAUAGAUUUAUUCCUGAUUCUGUGAGCUCACUAAUUAUGAAGCUAACACAAGUCUAAGUACCUAAUACUUACCUCCACCUCAUCGUUGACAUCGUGCAGUACCAUGGCAGAGGUUUCUUUUGUGCAUGGAUUUCCAAGCGCUCUGGCAGUCAUUGGUGGAAGCGUGGGUUUUAGUUGGCCAACAUUCAUCUUUUAGGCGCUGUGUUUAUGUAGAGAAUUUUACUUAACAGGUCUGGAUGGCAUCUUUUGUCAAAACAAAAUCAUGUUUGUUUUUAUAUAUUUUCCGCCUGACGCGUAAAGUGUUCCAUUAUUGUUUUCUUUUGGGGAAAUAAUUAUGCUUUAGGAUGAACUGGUUUAGUUCCUUUUUAUGUUGCUAAAACCCUAUAGCUUGCUUUUAUGUAGAAGUCCCUGGAUGAACUUUCAGAAAUCUUUAUUGUCAGGCCACAUUGGUACUGAGCUUUCUUGCAAAGGUGCUAUGUUCUAACUGUGGUGUAUAUAGUUGUAUAGUUUAUACUGAAAGCUGCGUUCUUGUCAGGCCACAAUAGUUGUAUAGUUUAGAUCAUACCUUGAGUUAGUUUUGUGCUUGUGGAAGGGCAGCGUCGAUUGCAAGACGGCUGGGUUCAGCUUCAUUAAUAUAGCACCAUCUUCACAAUACUGUACAUUAUAUUCUUAGAAUAUUUUUUGCACUCUAAUAGUUUGGCCUUUGAAGUAAAAUACACUUAGUAGUUUUAAAUUUCAAGUGGCAUGGCUUACAAUAUGUAAGUGGGUUUUCCACACUUGUAACAUGAGAGAAUCUGCAUAGAUCUCAAGGUUGUCAUUCGUGGCUGAGACAAUGUUUUUAAAUCAAGGGACCCGCACUUCGUCAUUAUCUAAAUUGCGCUUGAUUAUUUUCCUACAAGGAUCUGCACUUCGUCAUUACCUAAGCGCAUCAGUUAGAAGAGAAGUUAGAGCUGACGGGAGUGGUGCCAACAGUUUCCACAAUAAUCGUCUGACAGAUAAAUAUAUAUCUUCUCAUUUUUCAGAUUUUGUUGUUCAAUUCAGUUAAAUCUACUAGCUUACUGGUUGUGGUAUAACUAUUUCUAGAAUUUACAAUGUGGUUUCCGUGCCUAUUGAUUUAACUUGAUGAGAGAAAAAUGACUUCUUGGGUUCACUGUUCACUCUACAUAGUGGUUGUAACUUUUUUGCUUCUGAAGUGUCAAAGGAUACAAAAAUCAGGAUGAUAUAUUAGGCUGAGACAAUGUUUCUAAAUCAAGAGACCUGCACUUCUUCAUUAUCUAAAUUGCGCUUGAUUAUUUCUGCCCAGCAAUAUCAAGAUGAGGAUACAAGCAUAUCAAGUGUACAAGACGUGUAGUCUCCUCAUGAAGGUGGCUGAGCUAUGAAUUUGCUCUUGGUAUAUUUACCUAUGCUGGAUAUGGGGUCAGAUCUUUGGUAUGCAAGUGAAUGCAUAUGGAACAAUGAUUGCACAUAUUACAGUAAGCUAUAUUCUCUUCACAUUUAUGCAUAUUCUUGUUGGGACAAAAAAAGUGGUUAUAAUAAGCAGAUUCUUGUUGGGACCAAAAAAAGUGGUUAUAAUAGGCAGAUAUAUUUCUUCCCAUUUACACAUAUUCUUGCUGGGAGAGAAAAACAAAGCAGUGAUAAUAUGCAGUUUUACAUAAGCUUAUGUCUUGCAAACUAGCUAGAACCGAAAACUGAUGAUUAUUGCUUGUUUUCUGACUUCUGUUGCAGAAUGUGAAAGCUUAUUACCCACAUAAAACAAGUAGGUGUUAUGAAGUCCUUGUAUGCCUAAUUAUUGUUGUUGUAGUUGUCAUACAUGCGUAACAAUCUGUGACAAACACACGCAUACCCGUGAUCUCUCUCCUACAAAUACCCUUGACUAAUUCCUCAGAAGUAUAUGUAAAAACAGAAACAAAUGCUUCAUGCCCGCUCGCUUGGAAACAAAUGCUUCGAUGGCCAAUGCGCAACUAAUUGCAUGCACACUUACAAAAUAUUUCUAACAACCAAUCAGGACAUUUCACUUACGAGGAUCAGUCAAAAAGUUAGCACGU
rnacentral:lncRNA from 1 species